ensembl:snRNA U1 U1 spliceosomal RNA
AAAUCUGCAGGGGAGAUACCAUGAUCACACAGGUGGUUUUUCCAGGUGAGGCUUAUCCAUGGCACUCUGGAUAAGCUGACCCCUGUGAUGUCCCCAAAUGUGCAUAAUUUGUAGUAGUGGGGGACUACAUUCCCACUUUCCCCUU